AUGCUCACUUCAGCAGUAUAUAUACUAAAAGUGGAAGGCUAUAGAGAAGAUCAACAUUGUCCCUGGGAAAGGAUGAAAUACAAGUUAGGAAAGUAUAUUGUAUUUUU